UACGUAGGUGACGAGCGUUGUCCGGAUUUACUGGGCGUAAAGAGCGCGUAGGCGGUCGUUCAAGUCGAGUGUGAAAGCCCCCGGCUCAACUGGGGAGGGUCACUCGAUACUGAUCGACUCGAAGGCAGGAGGGGGCAGUGGAAUUCCUGGUGUAGCGGUAAAAUGCGCAGAUAUCAGGAGGAACACCAAUGGCGAAGGCAGCUCGCUGGGACGUGACUGACGCUGAGACGCGAAAGCGUGGUGAGCAAACAGG
rnacentral:rRNA from 1 species